rnacentral:rRNA from 1 species
AGUGAACGCUGGCGGCGUGCCUAAUACAUGCAAGUCGAACGGAAUUUAAGAGGGCUUGCUCUUUUAAAUUUAGUGGCGCACGGGUGAGUAAUAUAUAGCUAAUCUGCCCCUUGCUGGAGGACAACAGUUAGAAAUGACUGCUAAUACUCCAUACUCCUUUUUACCAUAAGAUAAAUCGGGAAAGAAUUUCGGCAAGGGAUGAGACUAUAUCGUAUCAGCUAGUCGGUGGGGUAACGGCCUACCGAGGCUAUGACGCGUAACUGGUCUGAGAGGAUGAUCAGUCACAUUGGAACUGAGACACGGUCCAAACUCCUACGGGAGGCAGCAGUAGGGAAUAUUGCGCAAUGGGGGAAACCCUGACGCAGCAACGCCGCGUGGAGGAUGACACUUUUCGGAGCGUAAACUCCUUUUGUUAGGGAAGAAUAAUGACGGUACCUAAC